rnacentral:rRNA from 1 species
UACAGGGGGGGCAAGCGUUGUUCGGAAUUACUGGGCGUAAAGGGUUCGUAGGUGGCCAACUAAGUCAGACGUGAAAUCCCUCAGCUUAACUGGGGAACUGCGUCUGAUACUGGAUGGCUUGAGUGUAGGAGAGGAAUGCGGAAUUCCAGGUGUAGCGGUGAAAUGCGUAGAUAUCUGGAGGAAUACCGGUGGCGAAGGCGGCAUCCUGGACCGACAUUGACGCUGAGGAGCGAAAGCUAGGGGAGCAAACGGG